rnacentral:rRNA from 1 species
UAGGGAAUCUUCCACAAUGGACGAAAGUCUGAUGGAGCAACGCCGCGUGAGUGAAGAAGGGUUUCGGCUCGUAAAACCCUGUUGUUAAAGAAGAACAGCUGUGAGAGUAACUGUUCAAGGGUUGACGGUAUCCAACCAGAAAGCCACGGCUAACUACGUG